rnacentral:rRNA from 1 species
GAUGAACGCUGACAGAAUGCUUAACACAUGCAAGUCUUUGGCGAAGCUGUGCUUGCACAGCCUAGCCAAGGCGGACGGGUGAGUAACGCGUAAGGAACUUGCCCUGCAGUCAGGGAUAACAGACGGAAACGACUGAUAAGACCUGGUAAAGUCAGGCGGACUCAUGUCCAGCCUGAUGAAAAGAGAUGCUGCAGGAGAGCCUUGCGUCCUAUUAGCUUGUUGGUGGGGUAACGGCCCACCAAGGCGAUGAUAGGUAGCCGGCCUGAGAGGGUGGACGGCCACAAGGGGACUGAGAUACGGCCCUUACUCCUACGGGAGGCAGCAGUGGGGAAUAUUGGACAAUGGGGGCAACCCUGAUCCAGCAAUUCUGUGCGCACGAUGAAGGUUUUCGGAUUGUAAAGUGCUUUCAGCAGGGAAGAAAAAAAUGACGGUACCUGCAGAAGAAGCGACGGCUAAAUACGUG